rnacentral:snRNA from 1 species
AUACUUACCUGGCAAGGGGAGACACCAUGAUCACGAAGGUGGUUUUCCCAGGAUGAGGCUCAUCCGUUGCACUCUGGGUGUGCUGACCCCUGCGAUUUCCCCAAAUGCAGGAAACUUGACUGCAUAAUUUGUGGUAAUGGGAGACUGCAUUCGCGCUUUCCCCUG